CUACGGGGUGCUGCAGUGAGGAAUAUUGCACAAUGGGGGGAACCCUGAUGCAGCAACGCCGCGUGGAGGAUGACGCAUUUCGGUGUGUAAACUCCUUUUAUAUGUCAAGAAAAUGACGGUAGCAUAUGAAUAAGCACCGGCUAACUCCGUGCCAGCAGCCGCGGUAAUACGGAGUGUGCAAGCGUUACUCGGAAUCACUGGGCGUAAAGGACGCGUAGGCGGGUUGGAAAGUCAGGUGUGAAAUCCUACAGCUUAACUGUAGAACUGCACUUGAAACUUCUAAUGUAGAGUAUGGGAGGGGAGAUGGAAUUAGUGGUGUAGGGGUAAAAUCCGUAGAUAUCACUAGGAAUACCUAAAGCGAAGGCGAUCUCCUGGAACAUUACUGACGCUAAGGCGUGAAAGCGUGGGGAGCAAACAGGAUUAGAUACCCCUGUAGUC
rnacentral:rRNA from 1 species